CACGUAGGGCGCAAGCGUUGUCCGGAAUUAUUGGGCGUAAAGAGCUCGUAGGCGGUCUGUUGCGUCCGCUGUGAAAACUCGGGGCUUAACCCCGAGCCUGCAGUGGAUACGGGCAGACUAGAGGUAGGUAGGGGAGAAUGGAAUUCCCGGUGUAGCGGUGAAAUGCGCAGAUAUCGGGAGGAACACCUGUGGCGAAAGCGGCGCACUGGACCAUAACUGACGCUGAGGCGCGAAAGCUAGGGGAGCAAACAGG
rnacentral:rRNA from 1 species